GGUGGGACAUUUCCGGUCGUUUGUUGCGCGUGCGUGCGCUCUGACGUUCCCUGCGUCUCAUCCUCGCGCAGCCCUGCCCGUCGGGCGUUGGGUUUCCUGGCGCUAGUAGCGCUGGGUCUUUGGCACCCUCGGUCCGGUUGGGGCUGUCAAGCCGGACCAAAUAGGUUGUUUCUCUGCAGUUUCCAACAUGGCAGGCAGGUUUAAAUAGACAUGGAUAAGAAGUCCACUCACAGAAAUCCUGAAGAUGCCAAGGCUGGCAAAAAUGAAGAUAAACAAAAACGAAAGAAAAAAAGAAAGCAAAACCUAAAUCAUCACCAAUCCCGACAUAGAUCAGUGACAUCUUUUUCUUCAGAUGAUCGUGUGUUUCCUUCUUCAUCAUCAUCAUCUUCAGCAAGCCAGACAGAUUCGAGUACUGAAGCUGGGGCCUUGCUGAUCCUGGAGAGACUGCUCCACCCAGGGUGAGCCAGUUCUUAGAGACAGUAAAGGACUCACCUGCAAGUGCACCUUCCAUCUGCAAACCAGCCAAUCCAAAGCCCCUACCCCCAACCACCUCCUUCAUCGGGCUCUUACACUGGGCCACUGUCCAUCUGCCUUCAUCACCCCAGGGCCAUGAACCAGACAACUAGGGACAGCCCUAUGCCCCAGAGCCGAGUGAAAUUAUUCAAACUAUUCAUAGCUAAUCCUGUGCCUGCUUACCCAGCCUUGCCUUGCCUUUCCCUUGGAUGCCACAAAUAAAGCUCUCGACCACAUUUUCCCCUAGCUUCUUUGACUUCUUGACUGACACUGGUGCCUCUCCAUGUAUCCCUGCAUAGCUUGGAUUGCCACUUGUUUCUGUGGACCUCUGAGUAUGAAGAAUUCUUUCCUUCGGGACAGUCAUUUCCAUAUCUAUGUAUCUUAGUAUAUCGGAUUAAAGUAAAUCUUGUGUCCAUUUUAAAACAGCCAUGAGGAAUGGGAGUUGGUGGAUAAAUGCCACAGCUUCCCCGCCCCUCAGAUGCAGUAUCUUUGAAGGGCCUAGUGAGUUUGAGCCCCAGUUACCCUUUGUGGCAACCUGCUCAUAAAUGCAACAUCUGUUGGCUUUCUUCCCUUCCUAUUGUCAC